rnacentral:rRNA from 1 species
GGACGAACGCUGGCGGCGUGCUUAACACAUGCAAGUCGAACGGAAAGGCUCCAGCUUGCUGGAGUACUCGAGUGGCGAACGGGUGAGUAACACGUGGGUAAUCUGCCCUGCACUCUGGGAUAAGCCUGGGAAACUGGGUCUAAUACUGGAUAUGACCUUUCUCCUUAUGGGGUUUGGUGGAAAGUUUUUCGGUGUAGGAUGAGCCCGCGGCCUAUCAGCUUGUUGGUGGGGUGAUGGCCUACCAAGGCGACGACGGGUAGCCGGCCUGAGAGGGUGAUCGGCCACAUUGGGACUGAGAUACGGCCCAGACGCCUACGGGAGGCAGCAGUGGGGAAUAUUGCACAAUGGGCGGAAGCCUGAUGCAGCGACGCCGCGUGAGGGAUGACGGCCUUCGGGUUGUAAACCUCUUUCAGCAGGGACGAAGCGUAAGUGACGGUACCUGCAGAAGAAGCACCGGCUAACUACGU